CCCUUCCCUGGACCCUGCGCAAGCGGGAGCUACAUGCACCAGGUUGCCAUGUUUGGAAAAGCUAGUGUGGAGAACACAAGGUCCUGUCAGUGUGAAUGCCAAGCGUUAAUAAGGCUGUUAUGGACAGAGGACAAUGGUUGGUAUAUCGCAAAGCAUCGAGAGAGCCAUAACCACUCGCUUUCGCCAAAUUUCGACCAGAAUCGGGCUAUGGAAGUGGCGUUCAAGAACAUAAUGCCAGAUACUAUGCACUGCUGGUGUAAGUGGCACGUGCUAAAUAAAGUCAAAGAAUCGUUGGGCCUCUGCACACCAAGAAGAGUGAAUUCUGAGCAGAGUUCCGCAAAAGUGGUGAAUCACAUGCUGACGGUGGGUGAAUUUGAGAAAGACUGGGAAUUGUUGCUUGCUAAAUACAUGAUGAGGUCGCAUCCAUAUAUGACGAACCUAUUUGAGAUCAGGGAGAAAUGGGCGAAGCCGUAUUUGAAAGGAGUGUUUUGUGCCAAGAUAGCGAGCACGCAAAGUAGUGAAAGUGCGAACCAUAUGUUAAAGAAUUAUGUCCCUCCAGGAUGUCCAAUGCUUAUGUUUCUUUAGAAGUAUAUGAGGCUACUCUUUGACAGUGAAGCGGAAGAGAACUAUGAAGAGAAGCGAACAAGAAUUGGGAGGCCUUUGUUAAGAGCAAACUUGGCAGUUGAAAGACAUGCUGGAAAGAUAUAUACAAGGGCCAUGUUUGAGGAAUUUGGGCAUAUAUUGUAUGAGUGUCGAGUUAACCAAGUGGAAGAAAUUGAGAAACAUAAGCUGUAUGUUGCAAUUCACAUUGAGGCUGACAAAAGAGAGAAGUGGUGCAGGGUGUCAUAUGAGGUAAAAGUUGCUAGACGGAGGUCACGAAUUUGAAUGUGAAUGCGGGCAGUUUGAACACAUGGGGCUGCUGUGCAGCCAUGUGUUGAAGGUCCUAGACUUCAUCCGAGCUAAAGAAAUCCCAGUUAAGCAUACAGUAAAAAGGUGGAGAAAGGAUGCUUGAGAUAUACUGCCUAAGGACCUUGUGCAAUAUCAGAAAGAAGACAUGCAUAAAAAUCCAUUCUCAUACAGACACUUCACCAUAUAUAUGCAUGCGAUGGAACUAGCCCGCCUGGGCGAUACAAGUGUGGAGGCAUACAACCGUUUGAUGGGGCUAUUCAAAGCAAACCUGGCAGAGAUGUUGCCAGAUGCCGAAGGGAGAGAUGUCCUUGGUCUCGAGGAUAGGCUUGCUGAUAAGGGAGGUGCUGUGAAUCAGGUGGCAUCGUCCAUGGCGGCCGAAGUAGUGAACAAUAGUGGUCAGUAUGCCGGAAGCAAGGCCGGAUAAGAACAACUUGCCCAGACCGAGGAGAUGUACCAAAGCAGCCGAGGAAGCCGGCUAGGUAUAAGAAUUGCGGAGUGGAGGGUCGCCAGAGGAAUAAUUGUAAAAGGCAAUUGAUCUUAGGUUAGUAGGUGGAAUGUAGUUGCUGGCUGAUCAAACUAAUGAAUUAUCUGUUGACAUGUUCUCCAUAAUGGUUCAGUGUUUCGAUGUUCGGGUGUAAGCUCGAUACUUUGGUAAUGCUGGUGGAACUGAAACAAGUGCUGUAUGAUGGGUGAAACAUGCAAAAUCUGUGUACAUUAGCUGGAAGGCAGUCUGUAAUUUCCCUUGUUAUUCUCUUGGUUCAUGACAUGUGAGUUAGGCUUUUUUUGCUGAAUCUGUAUUUUGGUCUGUACUAUGCCUGCAAUCUGGACAAGGGAUGAGCGGAAGGGCGUGCCCAUGUUGCGAGGAAGAAGCUGAGGAGGACAUGGCCCCCGAUAUGGUUUCUUGCGAGCUUAGAUGGGAUGAGAGAGGAGGAGCAGGAGGAAGGAUCGAGAGCAGGGUGAGGGGUUGGUGAGGCACAGUAAAUAAGGCUGUAAGGCCGAGCCGUGGCUCUGAACAUAGCAGUCCGUCUGAGCCGGUUCACGCGGGACGGAAAGGUGGCAUCAUGUGGGAUAGGAUGUAGGCAUCAAUGGGGCGUCUUACUUCUUGCGGGAUGUAGGCGUCGACGACGGGCACGACCGUGAGCGGAGCCGCCUACAUCGUCCUGAUGGCCUUGAUGACCUUGGUGCGGCUCGCCACCGCGA